UCAGAAUCCCCUUUAGGGGUUUUCACAUCCUCCCCUCAUUUCUCACUCACUCAACUCAAGCACAUCGGAGACUCAAAGUCUCAUUCUCUCGAACAGCCUAGGGAUGGGGUUCGCACGCCAUCGCCUCCUACCCGCCUUGGCGUCGCCGGCGACACCACUCAGCCGAAGCCACCGCCGGCCACGGCGUCACCGCCCUCUCUCUCUUUCCUCGCUUCGAAAACGACAACGCAUGGAAGGGUUUGCCUCCGUCGCACAUGCACCACCACUUCUUCAAACCGACCGUCGUGAACCGCCAUUUAUGGCGUCGCCAGUAACGACGCGCGCCACCGGAGCCAUCGUCAGCUAAGGCACCAGGCCAUUCCCCCUUUUCUUUUUCUCUUCACGCGUGAGAGAGAAUCGCUCUAAUAGACCUUCUUCCGCAUCGAGCCGCUCCAUCUUCUAGUCUGGAAACAACCUCAGGGAGAAUGCUCUCCCUUGUCACCCUCCGAUUUGGCACAGCCCGAAGGCAGGGGUUUCCACUCUCUCUCCUUCUCUUUUUCACGCACAGCCCAAACUCACCGUCGAUACACGCGACUGACGCCGACAACCGCCUCGGCUCCGCCACCAACAGCCUAGGAUGCCACCAUUGACACUACCCCGUUUUUCUUUCUUUCGAUUUGGGCUCGCCUUCUUACAGAUCCACCACCGCGAGAUGCGACUCCUUAUCGGUACCAUUGAUAAUCAUCACUAGACCAUGAUGUCGUGAUUAGAGAGGUAGUGUUUCUUGCUUGAGGAUUCAAUUUUGUUGGGGAUUGGAGAUGAACAGAAACGUUGAAGACUGUGGAAAAUCUGAGAGCUCGUGCUGCUCUAUGUCUUCGAAGAGGAGAGACCGAAAAUGGAUUUUCACAGCUUCAUUGUACAAGGUGAUGGGAUAUAGCAAGGCCAUGUUUAUGGUGCUGGAGUUGGGGAUGAUUGAGUGGUAAGGGAGGGCACAAAAGCAAACCAGAAGUAACAGACAAUAUAUACCCCGGUAUAAUUACAUCUUUAGUUCAAAUUGAGCAAGCAAACCAUGCCAAGCGUUAUCAAAUCAAAUGGAAGCAGAUAUCAACCCAAUACAAGCAGACAACAACCAUCAAUGACCCAAACAUUCAUAGCAUAUGAGCAAUUUAAGAGUGAAGACUUACCUUUCGCGUUCUAGCUUUUCCUUGCUCCGUAAGUGCCCGCGAGCUACGACAAUGAUAGUGCUAACGAGAGUGGAUUCUGGUUGAUGGUGAGGGUCCUGUUGUGUGAAUGGAAGAUGGGAAAUGAUGGGUCCUCUGGUUUUGAGUGUGUUGAAAAAGAUGGGAGGGUAAAUCCCAGAUGAACUAAUGAUGAGGAGGGCCUUUUUUCUGUUCGAGUGAGAAAUGAGUGUUGUGUGUAUGAAGAGGGAUCAAUUUUUCUUUUUGUUUCCGUGAAAAAAAUGUUUCCGGGAUUCCCCUCUGCUUGGUAGAUGAUCAGAACGUAUCCCUUAGGAUUUUCCAUUUCCUCCUUGUCUUUUUUUCUCUUUUUAUGUUUCAAUUGGAUCAAUCGAUCAAAACAAAUCAGAGAUCCUUUCCUCCUUGAUGUAUGAUUGUAGCUCUGCGUAGGGAUUUUUGGGUUUGUACACUGUGAGCACCUUGUUGCAGGGGAAACAAUCUUCUAUAUUA